rnacentral:misc_RNA from 1 species
GCCUGAUGCAGUUCAUCUUCUUGCCGUCAAGGAGACUUGCAAGGAGCUGGGGAAUGGUUCAACCACUAUUGGAUUUGCUUUUGUCGAUUGUGCUGCUCUGAAAGUUUGGGUUGGUUCCGUCGAGGAUGAUGCAUCUUGUGCAGCUUUGGAAGCUUUGCUGAUGCAAGUGUCACCGAAGGAAGUUAUAUUCAAUGCAAGGGGUUUGUCAAAGGAUGCCCAGAAAGCUCUGAAAAAGUAUUCAUCAACAGGUCCUGCAGCACCACUUCUAUCUCCAGUUCAGCCAGGUGCAGAUUUUGUUGAUCCUGCAGAAGUGAAAAAUUUCCUCGACUUGAA